GGAGAGAUGGCUGAGUGGUUUAAAGCGGCAGAUUGUAAAUCUGUUGAAUUUUUUCAUCGUAGGUUCGAAUCCUGCUCUCUUCA
rnacentral:tRNA from 1 species